AGCGGCGGACGGGUGAGUAACGCGUGGGUAACCUGCCCUAUACACAUGGAUAACAUACUGAAAAGUUUACUAAUACAUGAUAAUAUAUAUUUGCGGCAUCGCAGAUAUAUCAAAGUGUUAGCGGUAUAGGAUGGACCCGCGUCUGAUUAGCUAGUUGGUGAGAUAACUGCCCACCAAGGCGACGAUCAGUAGCCGACCUGAGAGGGUGAUCGGCCACAUUGGAACUGAGACACGGUCCAAACUCCUACGGGAGGCAGCAGUGGGGAAUAUUGCACAAUGGGCGAAAGCCUGAUGCAGCAACGCCGCGUGAACGAUGAAGGUCUUCGGAUCGUAAAGUUCUGUUGCAGGGGAAGAUAAUGACGGUACCCUGUGAGGAAGCCCCGGCUAACUACGUGCCAGCAGCCGCGGUAAUACGUAGGGGGCUAGCGUUAUCCGGAUUUACUGGGCGUAAAGGGUGCGUAGGUGGUCCUUCAAGUCGGUGGUUAAAGGCUACGGCUCAACCGUAGUAAGCCGCCGAAACUGGAGGACUUGAGUGCAGGAGAGGAAGGUGGAAUUCCCAGUGUAGCGGUGAAAUGCGUAGAUAUUGGGAGGAACACCAGUAGCGAAGGCGGCUUUCUGGACUGCA
rnacentral:rRNA from 1 species